rnacentral:lncRNA from 1 species
AUAUAUGGUGAAUUGAAUAGGGAGUCAAAAGGCUAAUCGCACUUGUUAGGAAUUUUGAAUCUUAUUAUUAGAAAACAACUUGAGCUUUCUUAUAAGAGUUAAUUUUGCUAUGCUUAUGGGUAAUAAAGGCUUUCAUACCUUGUUUGCAAUUGGAAGCUAUUCAUUCAAGGUGAGCUCCAUAAGAUUUGAAUUCAGAUCACAAGUGAUAUAGUUUAUGUGUUUUAUUUAUGGCAUUCCUAAUUUAUUUCUUUCAAAAUAAUAUGUAAAAAAUGGUUAAGUAUGAUGCUCUGUAUGUUGUUGAAAUCUUCAUAUAAAUUAGUGAAUCAAAAACAAUUUUCAUCAGCCUGUGGCCAUUUCAUAAAUAUGCUUAAAAUACUCAUAAACUAUAUAGGGGUAAUAGAAGAAUUUGUAAAACAUGGUCAACCCCUAUCCCUCCCCCUACCUUCGUCUCUGCUGGUGAUCAGAUCUUGGAAAAGUAAUAUUUUUCAGUAAUUGAAAGGAUCUAAACAUGUUUCUUAUGCUUUAUCCUUUAUUUCGGUUGUGAUAAAUUUCUUUAUGUCUUUGAAAAAGUUAAAAUGGUAAAUUCUCAAUAAUGAUCCGACCCUUUUUAAGCAAGCUAAAAAAAGACAAUAUUUUAGACUGAUUUGUUUGCAUCAACUGACCGAAAGCUUAUUCUCAUGACAGUUAGCCGACAAAGCUAGCUUCUAAUGGAAAUACUGCAUCGCUUCUGCAAUAUUUUGAUGCUGCGGUUCUCUUUACCUAUCCAUUUUUCGCACUCCCAUUAUUUCGGCCAUUACCUCAAUAGUUUUUGUAUUACAUUUGGCAACUUCUAUAUUUCUAAUUAAACUUUUACUUUAGCCAUUUAAUUCUAAUGACAAAUUUUUACGUAUGAGGUCAUGUGCUGCGGUAUUUCUUUCGUUCAUUUAUUUUCAUUAGUUGAAAAUUGAAGACGUAUUACCUUUAUUACAGAAAAUAGGCCGUUAAUUAGAACUUAACAGCGAAAUAAUUGCUUGACACGAUGGGCAUGGCAGUUAGUGGCAACAUAUAAUUUUCUAAAAUAGUGGUAGGUAUGGUAUUAAUUUUUUCAUAAUUCUACAUAAAUGUUUUUGGUGGUGCAUUCAAAAUAAGUAUUUGUCGCAUUUAAGGUCUAAUGAGUGGUUCAAAAAGCUUCGAUAAGUCGCGCUGGUUCUUUCUCUCGCAUAUUUUCCAUGAUAAUACUCUGUUGACCGUCAAGCAUCUUUUGCCAGUCCUUCCAAGAUUUAUUUUCAUUCUCCGAUUUCUCUGCAAGAUCGAAUACCAUCGGAUCUCGACAAAAUGAGUGAGGAGUCUUAUUUCUAUGUGCUUGUUUAUAUGUGGGUUCAUAUAUCUUUUUUCACGAAUUAAAACAAUUUGUUGGUUCAGGUUUCCUAUGAAAAACACUCCUUACGACUCCAAAAGUAGGGAUCCUUCGUGUCUUGAAGGGAUUCAAUUUAUAAACAUGUGGGUAAUUAAAAUUAAUAUUCACGCAGCAAAUUUUCUAUAUUCUUUUUUAUCUUUGUAGUUUUCUAGCCCUUGGGUUUCCCAGUUUUAAAUUAGUUUUUUUUUUCUAGCUAUUUAUGCCUUGAUGAGUGUGUUCUUAUUUGUAAUGAUUUCUCAAUUUAUAAUCUAUUUCUGUUUUUUUAGGUCAAGGUGAGUAGAGAAACUGAAUUUUUUUUUUAAAAAAAAAGUUCACGAAAAGCAAAAAUAAGGCAAAAUCAUUGUUCACCCCUUAUCUUUGGUUCUAGGUAAUGUUCUUUUUUCAGGUUCUUUUAACUCUUCAAUUUUUUGUAAACCUCCAAAAUUCUACCAAAAAUAGAACACACUCCUUAUUUUGUACAUUAUUACACUUUUUUUAAAACGAGUCACACUAAUUUAAUUUGUUGUAUUAGGCUGCUUAUUGGAUCUUUGGUAUCUAAUGAAUUGCUAUGACAAAUAGAUGUAAUUAAAAAUAUUUAUAAAGUAUUUUUUUUUUAAAUUUUAUAGUUUUUUCUGACCGUUUGGCUUCUUCUCCAACUCUAAUUAAAUUUCUUGAGUUUUGACCUCUUUAUUACACCCUUUACUACAAAGAAUAUGAAACCCUCGCUCAUGGCAAAAUCCACUAUUUGUUGUUGAACUCUGUGAAGUGCGUGAAAGUAGGAUACUCUAAAUUCGAGGGUCAAAGAGUUUUAUAAAACGUUCUUGGUGGAAAAAAACGUGAACAAAAAGUCCCACUAAAUCUACUAAAAUUGGAUCCACGAAUCUAACAAAAAGUAAAAUUGCUUGAUCUCUCUCAAUUCUAAAUCCUAUAAUGUGAAUUGAUGUCCCUGCAUAUUCCUCCUAACUUUUACAAAUGGAAUUAAAAUGCUUGAUUUAUUCUACCAAUUUUAUUUUAAAUUGAAUUUGGUUAUUCACGAGAUUAAUUUCUUUUAAAAGUAUGUUAUUUUUACUAUUUUUUUAAAGUUUGUGGCUAAAUUUAUUUCAUUUUAUAGUUCAAGGAAGUUGA